rnacentral:rRNA from 1 species
GACGAACGCUGGCGGCGUGCCUAAUACAUGCAAGUUGAGCGCUGAAGGUUGGUACUUGUACCGACUGGAUGAGCAGCGAACGGGUGAGUAACGCGUGGGGAAUCUGCCUUUGAGCGGGGGACAACAUUUGGAAACGAAUGCUAAUACCGCAUAAAAACUUUAAACACAAGUUUUAAGUUUGAAAGAUGCAAUUGCAUCACUCAAAGAUGAUCCCGCGUUGUAUUAGCUAGUUGGUGAGGUAAAGGCUCACCAAGGCGAUGAUACAUAGCCGACCUGAGAGGGUGAUCGGCAACAUUGGGACUGAGACACGGCCCAAACCCCUACGGGAGGCAGCAGUAGGGAAUCUUCGGCAAUGGACGAAAGUCUGACCGAGCAACGCCGCGUGAGUGAAGAAGGUUUUCGGAUCGUAAAACUCUGUUGGUAGAGAAGAACGUUGGUGAGAGUGGAAAGCUCAUCAAGUGACGGUAACUACCCAGAAAGGGACGGCUAACUACGUG